ensembl:snRNA U5 U5 spliceosomal RNA
AUACUCUGGUUUCUCUUCAGAUAGUGUAAAUCUUUGGCCUUUUACUAAAGAUUUCCGUGGAGAGGAAUAAUUCUGAGUCUUAACCCAAUUUUUUGAGACCUUGCAUUUGCAGGGCU